rnacentral:rRNA from 1 species
CCUACGGGAGGCAGCAGUGGGGAAUAUUGGACAAUGGGGGGAACCCUGAUCCAGCCAUGCCGCGUGUGUGAAGAAGGCCCUCGGGUUGUAAAGCACUUUCAGUGAGGAAGAACGCCUGGUGGUUAAUACCCAUCAGGAAAGACAUCACUCACAGAAGAAGCACCGGCUAACUCCGUGCCAGCAGCCGCGGUAAUACGGAGGGUGCGAGCGUUAAUCGGAAUUAUUGGGCGUAAAGCGCGCGUAGGUGGCUUGAUAAGCCGGUUGUGAAAGCCCCGGGCUCAACCUGGGAACGGCAUCCGGAACUGUCAAGCUAGAGUGCAGGAGAGGAAGGUAGAAUUCCCGGUGUAGCGGUGAAAUGCGUAGAGAUCGGGAGGAAUACCAGUGGCGAAGGCGGCCUUCUGGACUGACACUGACACUGAGGUGCGAAAGCGUGGGUAGCAAACAGGAUUAGAUACCCUAGUAGUC